rnacentral:lncRNA from 1 species
CUUAGCUCAGAUAUUUCAAAGACAAUCCACAACAAAACAAUUUCAGUAAUAUAUAAAUAUACAUCGGGAGCCAUCAUGCUUCCCAUCUAUCAAAAUCAACCACGUUGUGGAUUUGUUUCACACUCGAGUUCAAAACAACUCCAUUAAGACCAAAAGGUCAAAUCAUUCAAAAUAUCUCAAAUAUUCAACAUCAACGUGCUUAUAACACACAACUUGGAAUCUUGAAUAAAUUUGCAGAAUUAAUGGUGAACUUUGGAGGUUCUUGAAGUUGGAUGUAGGAGCUUAGGGUUUUCUUUUUGAGGGAAUUUAAUGAAAUAUAACAUAUAAUGCUUCUAAUAGGCUUUAAUAUAGGAUUUGUAUGGAUUUUGAGCGAGGGGGGAUGACCAAAACACCCCUAAAAAUUAAAAAAAUUCUCGAAUCUGUCCUUUGGUGGACUGUUUUGAUAGUUUGAAGUAGAUCAACCAUAAUAUUUUACUCCGAUUUCUAAAUUGGAUGAAACCAAUUUCAUUAGAAAGAGGACUCUCAUAUAUUUCCGUUUAUAUAUAGUAUCUCAUCCUGAUCAUUGUGUACGAGUAGUUAUGAUCAUUUGAAGUUGAACCAAAAAUUUGCUUUUGAUAGGCUGAAGUAGAUCGACCAUAACGUUUUGCUCCGAUAGACAAAUUGGAUGAAACCAAUUUCAUUGGAAAGAGGACUCACAGAUAUUUCCGUUGAUAUAUAGUGGAUCACCCAUAUCAUUAUGUACAAGGAGUUAUGAUCAUUUAAAGUUGGAGCAAAAAUACGCCAGGCCUCAGUACUUUUUCCUGCAUGUUUUACUAUUAACGGUUCGAUCGGAAUGUCCAUAACUCGUCGCUCGAGUGUACAUUUUGGAUGAUCCACAUAUCGUUGGAAAUAUUAUUCGACACUCUAUGUAAUGGUCGGUCAUAAUCUAAGACAUUCUGCACGGAAAAUUUAUAAUUCAUUCUAGAAGAUAGAACCCAACACGUUUACGCACAAAAUUUCAAUGAAAAAUUUUCCGUAGUAUUACAUAAGUCCAUCUCUUUGAGGCGACUAAGAAUAGUUCAAGCUUUUAAUAGUAUGUUUGGAUGAUUGUUAACAAUGGUACUGUAUUGUUAGUUUAGAUAUCAUGUUUAUUUUGACUUUUACUGAAAUUUUAUUGUAUCUUAUCAGUAUGUUUCAUCAUUAGGUAAUGAUGAAAAGUUUCAUUUUAUGUAACGAUCUAUUUGGUGAGAUCGCAUUGUUACCUUAUUAUUUUUUCUCAUUUUGCCUAACUCAUAAGUUGAUAAUCAUAUUUUGGCCUUGUACCCUAGUUUUCUAGUAGGUUCAUCGCUUAAAUUAUUGAGGUAUGAUAUUAUGUAAUGAUAAAAAAUGGUACAAUUUAUCUGAAUGUAGUAUUCAUUAAAACAACAUAUAACAUAAUACGAUACAUUAUGAAACAAUAGUGGUUGUUCAGAUUCUUAGUAUGCAGUGUGCACUAUUAAUCAACUUAUAUUUUAUAGUUUAUUUGUUGUGUAGUUGUGUACAUGGUGUGACAUAAAAACUCUCAGUAAUGUCAAAUAUCAUACAUAAACAUACAUGUGCUAUGUAUCAAAUUAUAAAUAACAUAAUGUCUUCACAGUUUCUACCACCCAUAUACAUAACAUAGUUAUGUAUAUGGGUUGAAAUAACAACUUAUUUUGAUACAUGAUUUCAAAGUAUUUGACUCGGGUUGGAACUUCCCUUGUCUUUGACUUGGUGAUGAAAUUCCGUCAAUAGUCAUCCAAGUAUUUUCGAAAGAGGAGACAAACUUUUGAGAGUUUAUUUUUCACUCUAGGAUUUUUGUUUGUUUUGUUCUUGUAUGUGUCAAAGUGUAUAUUCCCUGGAAAUUUUGAAAUAAAGAAUCAAAAGAAAACUUUAUACUAAAAUGGAGAGAUUAAUAAAAGUUUGUAUAUUAUAGAGUUCUUGAUAAAGACAAAUGCUUCUCCCUUAGUCGAUUGAGAAGUGUCGAGGAAAAAAUAUAUAUUAAUGAUCAAAAAAUAGAAAUAGAUUAGAAAAUAAAUACCAGUCCAAAAUGAUAUAUUAGAUAAUUUGCUUCUUAAUUAUCCUCUCUUUGAGGUUCGUUUAUUUUAGGCACUCUUUGAGGAGUGUUAAUAGUAAGAAAAUGGUAGGUGAGAUAUGUAUAUGAAGUUUAGAGACAGGAAAUGUCAAAAAAAGAUUUUUGUAAUUACCUUUAAUAGUUGAAAUUUUAUGUAAUAAUAGAAACUUAGGUUGUAGUUUUAAGUAAUUUUUCCUAAUAAUUUUAAGUUAGACCUAACAAGAAGGAGAUAAUAUUAUAUGUUUAAUAUUGAAAAAAGAAUAAUAGAAAAAAUAAAUAAUACGAUAAUCAAAACAAAUAAAAUAACACAUAAUAAGAAAAUUAAAAAAUAAGAUAGUGCGUGAAUAAUAAUAAUAAUACUUUUAAGGGGUAUUAGACAACUAUGUAGGAAUAAAUUAUGGUAAAAAAGAUUCUCCACUUUUGUCCAGAAUUAACUUCAUCUUCUUCGACCAGAAAGCAAAAUUAACAUAGUGAAUUAACACAAAUAUCAACACGGCUAAUACUGUUACCUUUUUCAUUGCAAUGAAAAAUUAUUUGAUAUCAAAUAAUUAUCAAUUAUUUUAUUUUCAAUAUUUACAGUGAUAGUUUUUCAUUCAUUAUUCAUUAUUGUCACGACCCGAACCUGGGUCUGGCCAUGAUCAGUAUCUCAAGCCCACCGUGGGCUUGAGAUCAUCCCCCUAGCUAAAUCACCUGAGCACAAUAAUGUAAUUAUGAAAGCAAAAUCAAACAAUAAGAAUGAUAUAUAAACCAAUAGGAAGGUUCUAACAACCCAAAAAAAUAACCAACCUACACUUUGUCCACAAAACCUUUAAAACCAGAAUACCAACUUUGGUUGGGAUGUGCUUCCAACCAUGACAAUGGAACUCUUCAAUUCCCAAAAUUUGAAAAGAAACCUAAUGAAAUGGUAAAGUUUUAUGGAUGAUGGAGACUCACCACUUCACAAUAACUCAACCGAUAUCUGCUCCACCUAAAACUGCACAAGAGUAAACAAAGAACCCUAGGACCCUACAUCAUGAAAUGAUGUAGCAUCCAGGGGCGGUCAUUUCGAUAAGUACUGGCAUGUAACUCAGGAUAUGGAUAAAAUAAUGCCAUGUCCAAAACCAAUAAAAACCACAUGCACAUAUUCAUAUGUGUGUGUAUAUAGUGUCGGGGUAGGAUACAAGGUUAUAAACAUGAGAUUUAAAAAUUAUUAACCUGGACUGUAUAGCUCUAUCUUUCCUAAGGGCACCCACGGGCUAUAUGGGUUUAGCUCCUCCUGCUGAUCAGGCCCCAACACAUGUUAGUUGCACGAACCAAGGAAAUUUGAGGGUGGUCCAGAGACACCAAGGCUCCAACCAUCCAACCAAACACACACACACACACACAUAUAUAUAUAUAUAAUGUGUGAACUAUGCACACGGUCACCAAGACUUCCAUAUCGACAAUCUUGGUUUUCAGUAUUGAUCCCCCAAGGACAAACCUUCACGACGAGCUACAAAAACCCUUUUUUAAGACAAAAUUAAAAUCAUUUAGAAAAUAACUUAACCAUAAACCAAGGAGUCUUUUAUUAAAGUAUAUACCAUUGGUAUCAUCAUACCAAUUAUGUUUGCAAGCUAAAUCCAAUUAUGUCAGUACAGAACAAAUUAACCAAUUUGAUUCCUAAGUUUGAAUAUAAAACAAAACCAAGGCCAGCAAGACCCUUCAAAAAUUAUUUUUUAUGUUUAGUUAAUCUUUUACGCAAUGAAAGGGUCCAGGAGUGGGUUAAAUUGUGCAUAUAUCCAUUUUUCAAACCAAUUUCAGAAAGUAGGUUGAGGUUCAUGUAAAUUCUGUACCAAAUUCCAUAAUUUUGGGAUAACCCAUGUUCAUCAGUCCAAUUCCCAUACCCAUGCACUUAUUUAGUUAAAAAAACAUAAGAUAAAGAAUGAAUGACAUUCAAAACUAUGUGAAAACAUUCCAAGUAAUGACCAUUCAAAUCCCUCAACUCAAUUUAAAAACCCAACAAUUAACUUCACAUGGAUAAUAAUUAAGCACAUUCUUCUAUGUAAAAUCAAGUUAGGGAAGAGAGACAUGCCUGAAACAUCAAAUAAAUUGGAAGAAGAAUCACAAGUUGGAGCUUAGAUGUUUAAUCUCUUGAAAACCCUAACCUUUUCUUGUUUUGGGGAAUUUAAGAUGAGAGGAGUAUUAUUUUAUUUGAUGAUUGAUGUUAAAAGGGAUCCUUGAGAUGUUUUAAGUAAUGGGUAAAGUGUAAUGAAAGGAAAAGACCUAAAUUUCCUUAAUAAAAAACGUGUACGAAAAUAGCUCCUAGUCAUUACGGGUCGGGUAAUGACUCGUGGUGACUAGUCAAGAGUCGUUGCCAAUACUUGUGGUCUGGAAAGCAACUUAGGGAAACCAUAUUGUUAUGUUCAAGAGUCCCUCACCACAACUCGUGACCUUAUCCUAUGACUUAAGGAGGUCUAGUCAUGACCAGAUAGUAACCUGUGCACACUUCACUGGUGAGACUACGAGCCUCACACUAUGAUUUGUCACCUAAGUCAUAGUCUGGGCAGUAUCAUCAACACUUAAAAAAUUUUAGAGUCAAAGACCUGGUUAUUACAUACCCCCCUCCUGAAUCAUUCGUCCCUAAAUGAGGAGUUAGAUGCACCCUUUUUGCAUGAAAAUAAGAAUUAAUACACAUUCAACCAAACGACAAAAUUCAAAAUGCCACAAGAAGGAGAAUAAAAAUCAUACCUCAAGCAUUUCCAUCAAACACAAGGAACAAGAAUGGGUACUUGACCUUCAUAUCUUACUCAACAUUCCAUGUAACUUAUUCCACCUCUUGGUUCCUCCAAAGAACUUUCGCCGAAGCCACAUCCUUAGUUCUCAACCUUUGAACUUGCCUAUCUAAUAUUUACACCAGGAUUUCCUCAUAAGACAAGGAAUCUAAAAUACCCAUAUCCUCCAUAGGAACAAUCAAAUAAGGAUUACCUACACAUUUCUUCAACAUCGACACAUGGAACACAAGAUAAAUAGAAGUCAUACUCGCAGGAAACUCUAAUUCAUAAGCGAUAUUCACAACUCUUCUCACAAUCUAAUAAGGACCAACAUAACGAGAAGUGAGCUUUGCCUUAUUUCCAAAAAUCAUCAUUCCCUUCAUAAGAGAGACCUUCAAGAACACCCAAUUGUUAACCUCAAACUCCAACUCCCUUUGCCUCACAUCCGUGUAAGGCUUUUAGCUACUCUGAGCAGUCUUAAGUCUUUCUCUAAUCACCCUCACCUUCUCCUUGACUUGGUAAACCAAGUCUGGAACAAACAACAGUCUCACCAGCAUCAAAAUAUUCAAUAGGAGACCUACAUCUCCUACCAUAAAGAGCCUCAAAGAGUCAUCUGAAUACUCAAAUAAUAACUAUUAUUGUACGCAAAUUAAAUAAUAGGCAAUUGAUAUGCCCAACUACCUUUAAAAUCAAUAACACAGGACCUUAGCAUAUCCUCCAAAGUCUGUAUAGUCCAUUCUAUUUUCCCAUUCCUCUGAGGGUGGAAAGCGGUGCUAAGGUGUAACGCCCCGUAUUUUUGAGCUAGAAAUUGAACCGUCAUUACUACAUGUGUAAAUUCUAAUACCAUGAUUUAUAUUUGAAUAUAUGUGUCAUGAUCAUUAUCCUAGUAUUAAGAAUGUUUUUGAGGUGAAAAAUGUUCCUAGGAAUCACUUAGAGAAAAUUUGAUCUAAGAGCCUUUGCUUCUUCUAAACUUUUGUAUUCGAUUCUACAAGGAUCAACUUUGAAUAUGUAUAACUUUUGAUAUAUAUGGAAUUUUGCAGCUUAAUAGCUACCAAAUGAUAUAUAAUUGAGUUAGCCUUCCAAAAAUACUAGUUCGACUUAAUUUGAUACCUGAGCAAAAAGUUAUGAUCAUUUUUGUAAAAAAUAAUAAGUGGUUGUGGUAGCCCUACGUCACAAGGAUUAUUCCACUAGACUAGGGGUCGCAUCGUGAGGGAUACUUUACUGGAAUAAGGUUCAUGUUGCGAUGGCCAUUCCCAUGAGAAAAAUAGGCCAAGGGGUAAUUGGGUCCUUUCCCCUCAACCCCAAUUGUCCAAAACACAAUUUUUAAUAUUUCAAGGGGCAUUAUUUGCCCAUUACCUUAAAAUUACUCACUAGAAACACUUCCCCUUUCCCAUGAACAAAGUUCUAGCUUUUACUCUCAAGAAUACAUGGAUUUAAGUUCUGAAUACAAUAUAUAUUUUCAAGAGUUCAUUCAAUUAAGGUAUGUGGGGUAUUCAUCAAUGGGUUUCUUUCGCCCAUUGAGCCAAAAAACCCUCUCUUUGAUUUAAAGUAUGAACUUUUCCUUCAUUAUGAAAUUUUUCAUGUUUAAGAUGAGUUUAAUCCAUGAUUUUCCUUAGUAAUUAGAUGUUAAUCCAUGUCCUCCUAUGAUUCCAUGUAAAUUAGGUUACAUAAUGCUUUGAAUUUCAAUUUUCGAUGUAUAUUUAAAGUGAUUCCAUGUUAAAUUAUCCAAUUUAUGCAUUAAUCCAAGUGUUUAUAUUAGCUUUCUAUGUUUAACUCACUCCUAUGUUCCAACUCACGAAAUUCAUCAAUUUAACAAAAUGUCUUAUGUUUUGGGUUUUUGAACUGUGACAUUAUAUCACUAUUUUAUCAUUGUUAUCAAAGUUUGUAAUCAUUAUGUGUUGGCGGGUUUAGAACACCCAAUACUUAUGCAUUUUUACAUGUUUCUAUUUUUAAGUUACAAGUCAGUCAAACCAUGUUUUUAUUAAUUUAUUCAGACUAUUAUAUUCAUAUUGCACACUUAUCAGUAUAGUACCACAUCAUGUUGGACCCUAAUAAUACUAGUGUCAUUCAGUUGAGAGUAGGAUUUAGCACUGCGUGAAUCCAGGGAUGGGUGCUCACCUGCCUGUAGAGGGUGUGACCUUUAGUAGCAAUCCCUAAGCUAUAAAACUACGUAGCUAGCAUAGGUAUAGAAGGUCUUCCUUCCAGUAGAGGGUAGACACUCUUUUAGGGGCACCUUCCAGUAGAGAGUGAUUCCUUAGUCCUUUGGGACACCAGUUUAGUGGAUCCACACAACCAUAUGUUAGUAAUCAUAGAAAGGUACUGACACCCUUCCAACUAAGGUUACAGGUUGGACCCCGAUUAGCUCAUAUUAGGGCAUGCUGAUUACAUGAUAGCUCCUACAGUUUCAGUUAGUAUUCAGUUUAUCUCAGUUCAGGUUUGAUUGACCAAGUAAUCAUAUUAGAUUUCAGUAAUUAUUUAGUCAAUUUUAUAGAUUAUUCAUGUUAUUCAGAUCAUGUCAGUACAUGCUUUGCUUGGUCUUGUAUUAUUAAUUUUACAUAUCAAUGUUUUUCAUGAUCAAUAUCCAUACAUGACCCUCAGUUUAGUUUUACAACAUGUUCAACUUUACAUGAGAUUUACAUAUAGUAUUCAUAUUUUUACCGCUUCCCAUCUUCAGUUCUACUUAUUCUACAAAAGUAAAGAUUUUAAGAAACUAAGCGUAGUGAUUCACUAGCUCAUCAAAUUAUGUUUUUUACUCAUGUUUUAAGAUACUUCAGUUUUCAGUUUAUUUAAGUCACUUAGUGAGUCUACUUGCACUUAGCAUGCAUGUUUUAAGAUUAUGUAUGUAAUCAAUUUUACUUAUUGCAUUCACUCCCACUUACUCAAUACAUUCCAAAGUACUGAUGUACAUAUAUGUCUAUGUGCUACAUUGUCUCAUAAUAUAGUUACCAGUUGUAGCCCACACGUCAUAACCAGAUAGUUCAUAGCUUCCAGCCAACAGGUAAUGAGUUCUCUUAUUUUGGGGACUCUAGUCAGUUGUAGUUCAUGUACUAUAUUAUUAUUAUUCUUAUGUAUUUAUUUGUGGUAGUCAGAGGCAUGUCCCAGCCACUUAUAGUUAGUAUAGUAGAGGCUUCAUAGUCAGUUAGUCAGAGUCACUCAUGUAAUACAAGUUCUUCCUUCAGAUUUAUGGUGUUGUAAAUCUUUUUAGUAUCACAUGUAUUCAGAUUUUCUUACGAUUAUGCUUCCGUUCAGCAAAUUUAGCUUAUAUAGUUAAUUUAAUUUAGAUGCUCAAGUAUCAUGCUAGUUCAUGGGUUAGUUUGGUAUCACUUAUAGUUCUAAGAACUGUGUUACGACUAGGGGGUAGUCUCGGGUCGUGACAUAAGGUCACCUUAGUCCCCAACCUUUCUGAAAUAAAUGCCGAAAGUGAGAAUAAAAUUGCACAUCGAUCUAAAAUUAUGGACACUAGUUCUCCAUGAAACUUAACCAUCUCCUGUAUAAAUAACUUAGUGUAAUCCUCUCCAGAGUAAGUAGACCUCAUAGGCAAAAAGUGAGCAGAAUUAGUCAUCCUAUCCACAAUGACACAAAUCAAAUCAUAUUGGUUCCAAGACCGCAGAAAAACCUAUAGUAAAAUCCAUGUAAAUCAUCUCCCCACUUUCACAUAGGCAAAUCUAUCUUUUGAGAUAUGCCACCAUGCCCCAAGUGUUCUACCUUGACUUGCUGACAGACCAUACACUUAGCCACAAAAUUUUCUAUAUCUCUCUUCAUAUUGUUCCACCGAUUUUACUUUAAGUUAUGGUACAUCUUAGUUGAACUUGGAUGAACGAUAUAUCUAGACUCAUGAGCCUCAGUCAAAAUCCUUUCCCGCAACCCAUCAACAUCUGUAUGCAUAACCUUCUUUAAUACCUCUUAAUUCCAUCUCCCCCAAUCUCGAAUGCCAUAACUUUCUACUGACCCACAUCAUCCUUAAUCUACAUAAGUAUGGGAUCCAAAAUUUGGUUUGCCUUCACCUCAACACCAAGAGAUGAUUUUACCACCUUUUGUACAAUUACUGUCCCAUCCCUAGAGUCCUACAGACAAACUCCCAAGUUAGAUAACUGGUGAAUGCCCUUCACUAACCCUCACUUCUCCUCAUCCACGUGAGAUAAGUUCCCCGUCGAACACCUGGUAAGGGCAUCAACAACAACAUUAGCUUUAUCUGGAUGAUGGUCCAAACUCAUGUCAUAGUCCUUGAGUAACUCGAGCCACCGCCUCAACCUGAGAUUCAAUUCCUUUUGAGUGAACACGUACUGCAAACUCUUAUGAUCAGAAUAAAUGUCCACAUGCAACCCAUACAGAUAAUAGAACUAUAUUUUAAUGCAAAGACCAUAGCUGCUAACUCUAAAUCAUGAGUCAGGUAGUUCCUCUCAUGAACCUUAAGCUGCCUAGAAGUAUAAGUCAUAAUCCUUCUAUGUUGCAUCAAGACACAACCCAGUCCCACAUGAGACGUAUCACAAUAUACCACAAACCCAUCAGUACCCACGAUCAGGGUCAAAACUAAAGCAAAAGUUAACUUAUCCUUCAACUUCUCAAAACUACCCUCUCAAGCAUCAGACCACAAGAACUUCCUCUUUUUCUGAGUUAACGGAGUAGAAACAUAAGAAAAACUCUCCACAAAACUCCUAUAAUACCCAACCAACGCCAAGAAACUCUGAAUGUCAAUGAGAGUCGUGGGUCUAGGCCAUUUCUUAACUACCUCAACUUUAUGUAGAUCUACCUUAAUCCCCUCACUAAACACCACAUGCCCAAGAAAAGUCACGACAUUCAUCCAAAACUCACACUUAAAAAAUUUAGCUUACAACCUAUGAUCCUUAAAACUCUACAACACAAUUCAGAGGUGAUUGGCAUAAUCCUCCUCAAUCUUAGAAUAUACCAAGAUAUCAUCAAUGAAGACUAUCAUGAACAAAUCCAGAAACUGCCUAAAUACCCAAUUCAUAAGAUCCAUAAAAGUAGUUGUAGCAUUAUUUAACCUAAAUGACAUAACCAAAAACUCAUAAUGGCUACACCAGUACGGAAAUCAGUCUUGGGAAUACCAACCUUCCUAAUUUUCAACUGAUGAUACCCCAAACAAAGAACACUAUUAGAGAAGCAUCUAGCACCCUGAAGCUGGUUAAAAAUAUCUUCAGUCCUCGGAAGGAGAUACUUAUUCUUUACUGUGACUUCAUUCAACUUUCAAUAGUCUAUACACACUCAAAGGAUCCCAUCCUUCUUGCGUACGAAAUGCACCAGAGCACCCCAUGAGGAAACACUAGGACGAAUGAAACCCUUAUCUAUAAGAUCCAUAUAAAUGUUAAACAUCAUAGCCUUACAUUCUAAUACCAAGUCGCGGGAUAACCCAGAAGCAAACUUCUUCAUUUUAGGUUGCUAGAUAGAAACCAACUCUGGAGCAUAACGAGACAACUACUGAAAUUUCAUGGCAUACUCUUUCACACUCAUCUUACCCCACUUCAAAUUUACAUAAUCUUUAGCCUUAUCUUCCCUCAGCUCCUAAGGAAAGAAAUGAUCAGAAAAGACACCCAAAAGCUUAUCCCAUAAAGUCAGCUCUGCAUUAUCACUGCUCAACUGCUCCCACUCCUCAUACCACUAACAAUCUAUAUCUUUCCGCUAAUAUGUAGCAAACUUUACACCUUCAGAAUCUACAACAUGUAUUACUUUGAAAAUCUUCUCCAUAUUAUUCACAAACCCCUGAGGAUCUUCCUCAACCUUUGAUCUUGCAAAGAUUGGGGGAUUCAACCUCAUAAACUAGCCAACCCGAGUGACCUUAGAUGAAGAAGAAAUAGAACCAACAUGAUCUAACUGAUAAGACUGAGAUGUCACCAACUGAAUAAGCAAAUAAAUAGACCAAUGGAACUCCACAUUAGAGAUGUCUCCCUGAGGUGGAUGAUCAAAGGUGUCACCAUCUUGGGAGGCCAGAGAAGGACUAGUAAAGACUGGUGGAUCCAUAUAUGGCAUAGUACAAUCGGAAGUAGGUAUCCUAGAUUGGGUCUGCACUUUACAAACAGGGUGAGUUCCUCCGUAUUGUCCUCAAGUAGGAUAGAGGGUUUUGUGGAGUUUUUAUGAACAUCAGAUCUUUAGGAAGUCAUGAUCUAAAACAUGAUUAACUCGGGAGUUAGAGUUUUCAAGACACUAGAUUCUAUAGGCCAAACUAGAACACAAGAAAGGAAAACAUUCCUAAAUGCCUUGUGGCCUUCCCCUUAUAUUUGUGACGUGCUAAACACUCAUAAAAGGGACUUUACUCGAAACAACAUUAUGGAAACCUAAGAUCCUGAACUGUGCUCAAAUACCAAGCUUGUCAUGAUCCAAACAAAGGCCUUGCCAUAAUGGGUAUCUCAAGCCUAUCGUGGGAUAGAGACCACUCCCUUUCCUAACUAUCUGAGAACAAUAAAGUUAGAGCGGAAUCAAACCAAACAAUAAGAGUGAUAUAUAAACUAAUAGAAAGGUUCUAAGAAUCCCAAAAAAUAACCAACCCACACUUUGUCCACAAAGCCUCUAAAACCAGAUUACAAACUUAGGCUAGGAUAUACCUUUGAACAAGACAAUGGAACUCUUCAAUUCCCAAAAUCUAAAAAGAAGCCUAAUGAAAUAGUAAAGCUUUCUGGAUGAUAGAGGCUCACCAUUUCACGAUAACUCAAUCGAUAUCUGCUCAACCUAAGACUGCACAUGAGUAAACAAAGAACCCUAGGACCCUAUAUCAUGAAAUAAUAUAGCAUACAAAGACGAUCAGUGGGGUGAGGACUGACAUGUAACUCAGGGUAGGGAUAAAAUAAUGCUAUGUCCAAAACCAAUCAAAACCACAUGCACACAUUCAUAUGUAUAUAUAUAAUGUUGGGGGUAGGGUACAAGGUUAUAAACAUGAUAUUCAAAAUAAUUAACUUGAACUAUGUAGCUCUAUCCAUCCUUAGGUCACCCAUGGGCUAUAUGGGUUCAACUCCCUCUGUUAAUGUGUGAACUAUGAAUAUGGUCACCAAGACCCCCAUGCCGAUAAAUAUGGUUUCAAGUAUCGAUCCUCCUAGGACCUCCACCUUCAUGAUGGGAUACAUAACCCCCUUUUAAUCCCAAAUUAAAACUAUUUAGAAAACAAUCUCAACUAUAAAGCAAAGAGUCUUUUAUUAAGGCAUAUAUCGUUGGUAUUGUCAUACCAAUUAUACUUGCAAGCUAAAUCCAAUUAUGCUUGUCCAAACUCAAUUAACCAAUUUGACUCCCAAUUUAUAACUUAUAACCAAACCAUGGCCUCUAAGACCCCUCAAAAACCAUUUUUUAUGUUCCAUUAAUCUUUUGUGCAAUACAAGGUUCCAAGAGUGAGUUAAAUUGUGCAUAUAGCCAUUUUUCGAAACUAACUACACAAAGUGGGUUGAGGUUCAUGUAAAUUCCAUACCAAAUUCCAUAAAUUUAGGAAAACCCAUAUUCCGCAGUAUAAUUCCCAUACCCAUGAACUUAUGUAGUUCAAAAAACAUAAGAUAAAACAUGAAUGACAAGUUAAAAACCAUGGGAAAAUAAUCCAAGUAAUGACCAUUCAAAUCCCUCAACUCAAUUUCAAAAUCCAAUAAUUAACUUCCCAUUGAUAAUAAUUAAAUACAUUCUUCUAUAUAAAAUCAAGUUAAGGAAGAGAGACAUUCCUUAAAGACCAAAGAAAUUAGAAGAGGAAUCACAAAUUGGAGCUUAGAUGUUUAAUUUCUUGAAACCCCUAACCUCUUGUUUUGGGGAGUUUAAGAUAAGAGAAAUAGUAUUUGAUUUGAUGAUUGAUGUUAAAAGGGACCCUUGAGAUGUUUUAAGUCAUGGGUAAAGUGUAAAGAAAGGAAAAAGAUCUAAAUGCCCUUAAUGAAAAACAUGUAGGAAAAUAUCUCCUAGUCGUUAUGGGUUGGGUAAAGAAUCAUGGUGCCUAGUCAUGAGUCAUUGUCUAUACUCGUGGUCUGGGCAUCAACUCAGGGCAUCAAUAUUGUUAUGGUCGCAAGUCCCUCACCACGAAUCAUGACCUCACCCUAUGUCUUAAGGAGUCUGGUCGCGACCACGAUAGUUACCUGGGUAUACUUCAUUAGUGAGACUACAAGUAUCACCCUAUGACUUAUGACAAGUGAUAACAUCUCGUCACUUGAGUCAUAUUCUGGGAAGUUUCGUCAACACUUAAAAUUUUCGAAGUCCAAGACAUGGGGUAUUACAUUUACAUACACUAAAAAGGUUAUGUAACAUAUAACACUAUUUUUUUAUCAAUUGUCAGAUUCAUAAAGCUCAUUUCAUACUGUCAUGGUCCAAAUAGUGGUCCUAGAUGUGAUGGGUAUCCCAAACCAAUGAAGGCUUGAGAUGACCCUUUAGCAUUGUAUCAUAAGUAUAGUCAUAAUUAAAGCUAUGAAAGGAAGCCCAUAAAAAAGGAGUUCAGUACUUAAAUAAAGUAAUAUUUGUAUCUUAAUAACAAAAUCCAAACCAAUUACCCAACAACGUACGAAGCCUCUAACUUUAAGAAUACUCCUAAGUUGGGACAUGACUUUGACUAUGCCAUAAAAGCCAUAAAAUAAUUUAAUGGAAACAUAUGAGAAAUGAAUAAUAACCUUAUGGAUGAUUGAGGGAUCACCACUAAUCACUAGCUUUCUGAGAGAGAAUAUGAGUGCCCUGAUGCUGCAUAGAAUAAUUAGAAAAUUCUUCCAAACCUACAUCAUAAAAUGAUGUAGCAUACGGGGACAGUUAAUAUGGCGAGUACUAGAAUGCAACCCAAGGAAAGGGAUAAAGCAUUAAUUUAUAAAUCAUCCAUGAAGAUUAUUUUCAUGAUCCAUAAUAAUAAUUAUAGAACAAAAUAUAGGGGAUAAGGAACAUAAAUACAUGACUAUUUAAAAUUUAGUCUUGAACUAUGUAGCUUUUCAUCGACAUCCUGUAACCCAAGGGCUAUUAUGGGUCUAGAUUGCAAUACCCCAAAAAUUUUAAGCUCUAGAUCCCUCAAAAAAUAGGCCACUAUAUUAGCUUUCCAAUGCAAAAAGACUCGUCUUAAUCCAACAUUGUGGAAAAAAGUUAUAUAAGUUUUUCCAAAGUUCCAGUCAGCUGCCAGUGGCUAUGACUCAUGUGAUGACCCAUAAUAAACCUUAUGAGCAGUUAUAUUCUAAAAAUAAAUGACCUACAACUUUAUCCCAAUGACUACAAAUCCACCCAUAAUCAAUUUCUAAGAGUCGUUAGGAGGGACUCAUAGCCACAACAAUGUGUAACCAAGAAUUUAUCCCAGUGGUUAUGAGUCCAGAAUGCGACUCAUAGUAUAAAUUUAUGAGACGUUAUGUGGACUUGUAGCCUAAAAUGUGAAUGAUCCAAGAAUAAAUCAUCAAACUAUGACUCUACCUUACGACUCAUAGUCAGUCAUAACGAGUCAUCAGGGGAAAGUCAUAGUCAAACAAGAAAGGACUCAAACCUCAAAGUUUCAAGUUAUGACUUAGAUCAUAACUCGUGACCAGUCGUGAUGAGUCAUGAGGUUAGUCAUAACGACUAGAAUAGGAUUUUCCUAGAUGUUUUCUUAGGGAGUUUUAUAUCUUUUCCCACUCUUUUAAAAUCAUAACCCACAUAGUUUAGGCUUUCCAAAGGGUGGUAUAAAAUCCCUAAUUACAUGAUUAAUCAUAAUUUCACUCAGAGAAUUCAAAAAGAGGAAAUUUUCCUCUUUUCUCCAAGGAAACAAGGGUUCUUUAAGUUCAAGCUUGAUUUUAAGAAAUCACCCAAGGCUUCUACAUCUAGGUAUGUGGGAUAUUCAUAAAUGGAUGCCUUUCACCUAUUGAGUCCCAAAGUUUCCUAAGACUCUCAAGUUUAGUUUACUCUUUAUGCUUAGGGUUCCAUGUCAAUGAGGAAUUUUCUUGGAGUUACAGUUUAUCCUUGCAAUUGAACCAUGUGUACAUGCUAUUUUCUUAAGCUUAGCAUUUUUACAUACUCUGAAUCAUGAUUUCCCUUAGUUUAAUAAUAUAUUAUGUUUUUCGAUCUAUAAUCAUGAAAUUUCUUAUAAGUAUUCCAAUAUCAUUAUCAUGUUUAAUGUAUUCUUCCAUGUUGGUGGGUUAUGAUACCCCAAAACCUAGAUAUCCAUAUAUGUUAUAGUUGUUAGGUUACAAGUCAUUCAUGCCAUGCUUGUAUUUUUAAAUUCAUAAUAUUAUCAUGUUGAGAAUUUACCCAUUUUAAAUCAUGUUAGACUUUUAUCAGUAUCAGUGUUAGUUUAGUCGGGAGUAAAUAUUAGCACCGAGUGAAUCCAGGGAUGAAGUCUCAACUACUAAUCAAAGGUUGAGACCAUUAGUAGCAGUCUUUAUGUUCGAGAUCUACAUAGCCAGUGUAGGUCAUAAGAGGCCAACCUACCAGUAGAGUGUUGACACUCUCUUUGGGGUUACCUAUCAAUAGAGGGUUGACACCCCAAUACUUGGGAUAUCAGUCCAGUAGACCCACAUUACUAGUGUUGGUACCCUUGGUAAGGUGCUAACAUCCUUCUAACUAGGGUCACAAGUUGGACCCCGAUUAGCUUAAAUUUGGGCAUAUCAGUUUAAUGUUAGCUCCCGUAGUUUUAGUUUAGUAUUUAGACAUAUCAAUUUAGGUUUGCAUGAAAAAAUAUCCAUAUAUCAGUUAUUUAGAUCAUUUAAGUACAUGUUUAUGCUUAGUCUUGCAUUCGUUUUACAUGUUCAUGCAUUUAUGCUCAAUACCCAUAUGUAUACAAUCUAGUUCCUAUCUCGCAUACCAGUACAUUUAAAGUAUUGACGGCAUAUUCUCUUUUGCAUUAUGUUGUCUUAUAACAUAUGUUUAGACACUUAGUUCCUAGAUGUAUAUAGUCUAUUUCGGUGCCACUCAGCUGUAGUAUUAGUGAGUCCUCAUCAGUCGAGGACUAGUUAUGCUAUUAUUUAUUCAUCCCAAUAUAUCAUUUUAUGUUAUCUUAAUAGUCAGAUAUAGUUGGGGACAUGUCCUAACUCAUCAUGUUAGAGGAUUUCAAACAGUUUGAUAGUUAAUCACGUUGUCAGUGAUGUUUUAAGUUACAUUUGAUAUAACCUGGAUUUAAUUAUUUAGAUAUUUUAUUUAAAGACCUUCACCCAGUAUAUUUCUAACUUCUUUCAGUAUUUACAACUUGUGCCAAAUCAUGGGUUAGCUUGGAGUUGCUCGUGGCCUUAAGCAUCGUGUUAUGACUAGGGGUAGUCUCGGGUUGACAAACUUGGUAUUAGAGCACAAGUUUUAAUGUAUCCUAGGGUGUCUGGAAGCUGCAUUAAGUAGAGUCUUGUUCAUGGGUAUAAAGAGUGUCAUACUUAUGGGAGAGAGGCUACGUGAUAUUUUAGAAAAGUUUCCCUUCUUUCAGUAUUCAUGUCAUAUGAUGGAGUGCAAGCUCUAUUAAACUUCUUUUCCUAACUCAUUCUCUAUAUAUUUACAGAAGAUGCCUCCUAAAAAGGCAAAUAAAAGGAGAACUAGGGGCCAUCCUGCACCACUUAUUCUUGAAGACCCUCUGAAUAAGCAGGCCUCUCACACUGAAUUUAGGGAUGCUUUUACAACACCAACCCAAUCAAUGGCUGCUCAGAACAAUCAUCAAGCCGUUGCCCCAUCUAACUCUUUGCCGAUCAUGGUAGCAACCAGAAUUCAAUAUUUCACUCGAAUGAAUCCCUCAAUGUUCUCUGGAUCUAAGUUUGAGGAGGAUCCACAAGAGUUUCUAGACUGUGUACAGAAGGUGACUUAUAUUAAGGGUGUUACUCUGAGUAAAAGUGCUGAUUUAGUUACUUACUAAUUGCAAAGGUGGCUCACACCUGGUUUAAAUAGUGAAAUAAAGAUAGAGGAGCCAAUAUAGGGCCUGUGAAGUGGGAUGAGUUUGCUACAGCUUUGUUAGAAAAGUUUUUCCCACUGGAACUAAGAGAGUCUAAGGUGCAGAAAUUCAUAAAUUUAAAGUAAGGUAACAUGAGUAAGAAGGAGUAUUCACUCAAGUUCACCCAGUUAGCAAGGUAUGGUCCAACUAUGGUGACAGAUUCUAGGGCCAGGAUUAGUAAGUUUGUGUCUGGAGUUUCUGAAGAUAUUGUCAAGGAGUGCAGAACAACAAUGCUGAUUAAGGAGAUGGACCUCUCUAGAUUGAUGGUUCAUGCUCAGCAUAUUGAGAAGAAAAAGAUAAAGGAAAGGGAAAUAGAGAAUAAGAGGACCAAAAUAGGUAGUUUAAACUUUUCUCAGCAGAUAUCUGAUGGCCAGAAUCAUUCUCAACUCUACCAAAAAUCUUCAGCCCUAUACCCAUCCUCUGAUAGUACUCUAAUGCCUAUGUUCUGGUAGGACAAUCGUGACAGAGCACCAGGAUCUAAGACUCAGGGUAGCAUAAAUAGUGGCCACACUAACCCCAUCUAUAAGAGGUGUGGUAAGAACCACAAGGGUGAGUGGAUGGACAAUUGUGAUGCGUGUUUUGGGUGUGGCAAGCCAGGAUACAUAAUUAGGGAUUGUCCAUUGGUAGGCCAUAAGAGUAAAUAUUUUCAUUAAUCGGGUCAGGCUAACUUCUCUCCAAUCCCAAUAGAUCACCCGAAUCAGUAGGGCACAACCUCCAGUGCCAUCAAUGGAAAAUAUUAGAAUCAACUCUAUGUCUUUCAGACUCAACAGGAUCAGGAAUGUUUUUCUAAUAUGGUUACUGGUAUGUUACAAGUCUUUCACUUUCAUACGUAUGGAUUGUUAGACCCCAGAGCCAUACUUUCUUUUAUGACUCCCUAUAUAGUGGUGAAUCUUUGUGCUAGUCUCAAAUUCUUAGCAGAAUCCUUCUUAGUGUCUACUCUCGUUGGUGGUUCUAUUAUAGCCAAAUAGGUGUACAGAACUUGCCUAAUUAUAGUGUCAUAGAAAGUUACCUCAGUGGAUCUCAUAGAAUUAAAGAUGACCAAUUUUGAUAUCAUUCUUGGCAUGGAUUAGCUCCACUUUUUCUAUGCCUCAAUCGAUCGUAGAAAUAGGAGAGUCCUAUUUUAGUUUCCUAAUAAGCCAGUUAUUAAAUGGAGGGGUUGUACCUCCGUGCCUAUAGUUUGAUUUAUCUCCUACCUUAAGGUAAGAAAGAUGAUAUCCAAGGAUUGCAUAUAUCACCUUGAAUGAUUCAAGGACUCAAAAUUUAAGACUCCAAGUCUUGAAUCAAUUCCGACAGUUAAUGAGUUUUUGGAAGUAUUUCCUGAAGAUCUGCCCGGAGUUUCUACCAAGAGGGAGAUUGACUUUGGAAUAGAUCUUCUUCCAGACACCCAACCUACUUUAAUUCUACCUUAUAGAAUAGCUCAAAGAAUAGUUAAAAGAACUCUUAAAUAAGGCUUCAUCAGACCUAGUGUCUCUCCAUAGGGUCCAAAGUUCUCUUUGUGUGUAAGAAAUACGGUUUUUUUAGAAUGUGCAUGGACUACCUUCAACUGAACAAAGUCAUAAUCAAGAAUAAUAACCCUCUACUCGAGAUUGAUGACUUGUUUAACCAGCUUCAGGGUUCACAUUGCCUCUCUAAAAUAGAUCCCAGAUCAGGCUAUCAUUAACUCAAAGUAAGAGAAUGUGACAUUUUGAAGACAACCUUUAGAACUCGGUAUGGUCACUUUGAAUUCAUAGUUAUGAUUUUUGGACUAACAAAUGCUCCUGUAUCUUUUAUGGACUUGAUGAACAGGGUGUUCAAUCAAUACUUGGACAUGUUUGUCAUGGUCUUUAUAGAUGACAUCUUCGUCUAUUCUUGUAGUGAAGGUGAAUAUGCAGACCGUAUGAGGAUUGUAUUGCAGACCCUUAAGAAUCACUAGUUAUUUGCUAAGUUUAGCAAGUUUGAAUUCUUAUUGAAAUUAGUAUCUUUCCUAAGUUCUAUAAUUUCUAGUGAGGGUAUUCGCAGUUGAUCCUCAAACACCGAAGCAGUAAUAAAUUAGCCUAGACAAAUCUCUCCAUCAAAUAUCAGGAAUUUCGUGGGUUUAGCUAGUAACUCCAUAUGAUUUUUUGAAAAAUUUUAUUCUAUUAUUUCUCCCAUGUCCAAACUGACUUAGAAGAAAGUUAAAUUUUAGUGGUCAGAUUCUCGUGCGAAGAGUUUUUAGGAGUUGAUGACUUAAAUCAUUUCUGCUCCAGUAUUGACUCUACCAGAGGGUUUAGAUGGGUUCGUAGUAUAUUUUGAUACUUAAAAAGUUGGUCUUAGGUAUGUGUUGAUGCAGGAAGGCAAGGUUAUAGCGUAUGCCUCUAGAUAACUUAAAUCUCAUGAGAAGAACUACUCGACUCAUGAUCUUAAGUUGGCAGUAAUGGUAUUUGACUUAAAGAUUUGGAGGCACUAUCUUUAUAGGGUAUAUAUCGACGUAUUUAAUGAUCAUAAGAGUUUACAGUAUGUGUUUAAUUGAAAAGACCAAAAUCUUUGUCAGAGAUUGUGGCUGAAAUUGUUAGAAGACUAUGAUAUGAGUGUGUUGUACCACUCGAGUAAGGCCAAUGUUAUGGCUGGAUGCCCUUAGUAGAUUGUCUAUGGGGAUUUUUACUCACAUAGAGGAUGAUAAAAAAAGAGUUAGUUCAUGAGGUUCAUCAACUUGGUAGACUAGGAGUUCAGAUGGUUGAUUUAGUUGAAGGUAGUGUAUGGGUUCAGAAUAGUUCAGAGUCGUCUUUGGUUUUUGAGGUAAAAUAAAAGCAAAAUAGAGAUCCUAAUUUGGUUAAGCUGAAGGAAGCAGUUCGGAAUUAAAAGGUUAAGCUUUUCUCCUAAGGAGGAGAUAGUAUACUUCAUUGUCAAGGCAGGUUGUGCAUUUUGAAUAUGGAUGAUUUGAGGCAGCUUAUAUUAGUAUAGGUUCAUGGUUCACGAUUCACCAAGAAUCCACUAAUAUGUAUCGUGAUUUGCGGAAAGUCAAUUGGUAGAAUGUAUGAAGUAGGAUAUUGCAGAAUUCAUGUCUAAGUAUUCAAAUUAUCAGCAGGUUAAGGUUGAGCAUCAAAGACCUAGUGGUACACUUUACGAUUUCAGCAUCCCUACUUAUAAGUGGGAAGUGGUGAAUAUGGAUUUUGUUACAGAUUUGCCUUGUACGCGUCAUCAUCAUGAUUCUAUUUGGGUUAUUGUGGAUAGGAUGAUAAAGUUAGCCCAUUCUUUGUCAGUCCAUACUUCAUAUUCUGCUGAGGACUAUGCUACACUUUAUAUUAAGGAGUUGAUAAAAUGACAUGGAGUCUCAUUGACCAUUAUUUCAGAUAGUGGUACUCAGUUUACCUCUUAUUUUUGGAAGGAUUUUCAGAAGGGUCUUGGUACCCAGGUUCACCUUAGUACAACUUUUUGCCCUAGACAAAUGGUCAAGAAAAGAGGACCACUUAGAUGUUAGAGGACUUGUUGAGGUCUUGCUUUAUUGAUUUAAAAGGUAGUUGGGAUAACCACUUACGUUUGAUUGAAUUUGCCUAUAAUAACAACUAUCACUCUAGUAUUUAGAUGGCUCUAUUUGAGGUUUUUUAUGGCAGAAGGUGUAGGUCUCUUAUUGGUUGGUUUGAGAUUGGCGAAGCUGCUUUGAUAGGACCAGACUCAGUGUAUGAGGUAAUGGAGAAAGUUUAGUCAAUUCAAGAAAGGCUGAAGACAACCUAGAGUCGACAAAAAUCCAAUGAAGAUAUGAAGAGAAGGGAGGUUGAGUUUGAUACUGGUGUCUGGGUGUAUUUGAAAAUUUCACCCAUGAAAGAGGUGAAGAGUUUGGUAAAAAAGGGAAGCUCACUCCCCGCUAUGUUGGCUUAUAUAGGAUUUUGAGCUGUUUUAGGAAAAUAGACUAUGAGUUAAAGUUUCAUGCAAAGUUAGUAUCAGUGCAUUCAGUAUUUCAUGUCUCUAUGCUAAAGAAAUGCAUUGCUGGUCUAGCUUCAAUCAUUCCUUUAGAUAGUGUGGGCGUGAAAGAUAGCCUCUCCUAUGAAGAAUUCCUAGUUGAGAUCCUUGACCGUCAGAUUCGUAGGUUAAGGAAUAAAAAGUUGCCUUAGUAAAAGUUUUGUGAAGGAAUCAGUUAAUUGAAGGAGCUACUUGGGAAGUAGAAGUAGAUAUGUGAGCCAAGUAUCGCUAUCCUUUCUGUUUGAAUCCAUAUUCAGCUUAAGAUAAUGGUUUUUUUAAUUAAUUAAUUCUCUCAUUUUCUAUCUUAGAUAUCUAACCAUCCUCAUGUCAUAUCAUGCAUUCAUGAUUUCAAUUCAGAUCAUGCAUCAUGCUUUAGAUUCAAAUAGUUAGUCAUGAUUCAGCUGAUAAGUAUUCAACGUAUGAUCUCAGUUUCUCCUAAUAUCCCAGUUCGGACAGUUUCAUUCGGGGAUGAACGAUCCCAAGGGAGAGAUAUUUGUAAACACGUGAUUUUUGACCCUCCCCGAGUUUUAACUUAGUUUUCAGCAUCAAAUAUUUAUAUUUUUGUUCAAUAUUUAUUUUAUCUUUUAUUUCAUUUUAAUAAGUUUUAGUUUAAAAAUAAAUAAAUAAAUAAAUAAAGUUACAUUUUAGGAUAUAUUUUUUUAUUUUAAUAAUAAAUAUAUUUUUAAAAGAUAUGUUUUCUUUAGCUUAGAUUUUAAUUAAAAAAAAGUUACAAUUUUAAAUUUUUUCUUAAUUAUAUUUUAUUUUAGGCUAGCUAUAAAUUUUUCUUAUAUUAUCUUAUGUAUAAAAAAUAAUUAGUUAAUAUUUUAUUUAUUUAUUUAUUUUAAAUUUUAUUAUUAUUUAUUUUACAUAUAUUUUAAUUUGUUUUUAAAAAAUUAUCCUGAAACAAAAAACUACCCAUCUGCAACCCCUCCACACCUUAAAAUCCCUACCCCUCAAACUCCAAACCCCCCCCCCCCCCAACUCCCCACUCUCACUCCUACUGUAACUCCUUGAACUCAAACUUUUUUAUCCCCACUUUCUGUAAAGGAAAAAUUACAGAAAGUAGCAUAUCUAAGACUAUAAUUAUAAUAAAUAGCAACACUUUCUCAAAA